GGUAAUUAUAAAAGACUGAAAAAGAACGGUAACAUUAAAUUACAAACAUACAAUUUAAUAAAAAAAUACGUCAUAGGUUUCAGAGAGUUAUUUUUGCACUUUCUAAAUACGUAAUAUCUUCAGUAGUGGGCCCUCGAAACUUUUUUAUUCAUACAAGCGAAGCCGCAGAUUACAAUAAAUAAUUUAAUAAACUUGUUAUGGAAUUGGUCAAGAGCAUACAUUGACUUGUAAUGGUAAGAAACUUCCUCUGCGUUUACGAAAUUCAUCCGAAUAUCUUUGAUCACAGAGUACUCAUUGUAAACACGUUGAAACUUUGGAAUGUAUAUAUAAUUCUUACAGUGUAUUAAAUUUGAAAUAUGUAACAGUUUUAAAUAAAAUACAAAGUUCCGAGGAGUGUAUCUUGAUAAAGUGGGGCUCUUAACUUAAUCAACAGUUUUACAUUAGUGUUUCACAAUUUUGCGUAACUUUGGAGAUAUGGAUCCAUCCAUACCUUGUUAAAUGAUGUGGUGUAAGUAGUAGGAAAUGCGGUAGCGCCUCAAAGCAAGAAGAGGAUUGCGGUUAUAAUGGAAAAUAGUGAUAUGUUAUCUAAUUCUUUAGGCCAUGUUGAAACGGCAGUGUGUAGUGAUGAUUCGCCUGACAUAUUUGUCGAUUGUUCACCACUAGAAGAAGAGUUAUCUUCAGAUGUGAAAAUACAGAUUGAAGGUGAUAACAUGUCAGAAGGUGAGAGUGAA